GAUUAAGUUAUUAAGGGCGCACGGUGGAUGCCUUGGCACUAGAAGCCGAUGAAGGACGUUACUAACGACGAUAUGCUUUGGGGAGCUGUAAGUAAGCUUUGAUCCAGAGAUUUCCGAAUGGGGAAACCCAGCAUGAGUUAUGUCAUGUUAUCGAUAUGUGAAUACAUAGCAUAUCAGAAGGCACACCCGGAGAACUGAAACAUCUUAGUACCCGGAGGAAGAGAAAGAAAAUUCGAUUCCCUUAGUAGCGGCGAGCGAAACGGGAAGAGCCCAAACCAACAAGCUUGCUUGUUGGGGUUGUAGGACACUCUAUACGGAGUUACAAAGGACGACAUUAGACGAAUCAUCUGGAAAGAUGAAUCAAAGAAGGUAAUAAUCCUGUAGUCGAAAAUGUUGUCUCUCUUGAGUGGAUCCUGAGUACGACGGAGCACGUGAAAUUCCGUCGGAAUCAGGGAGGACCAUCUCCUAAGGCUAAAUACUCUCUAGUGACCGAUAGUGAACCAGUACCGUGAGGGAAAGGUGAAAAGCACCCCGGAAGGGGAGUGAAAUAGAACCUGAAACCGUGUGCUUACAAGUAGUCAGAGCCCGUUAAUGGGUGAUGGCGUGCCUUUUGUAGAAUGAACCGGCGAGUUACGAUUUGAUGCAAGGUUAAGCAGUAAAUGUGGAGCCGUAGCGAAAGCGAGUCUGAAUAGGGCGUUUAGUAUUUGGUCGUAGACCCGAAACCAGGUGAUCUACCCUUGGUCAGGUUGAAGUUCAGGUAACACUGAAUGGAGGACCGAACCGACUUACGUUGAAAAGUGAGCGGAUGAACUGAGGGUAGCGGAGAAAUUCCAAUCGAACCUGGAGAUAGCUGGUUCUCUCCGAAAUAGCUUUAGGGCUAGCCUCAAGUGAUGAUUAUUGGAGGUAGAGCACUGUUUGGACGAGGGGCCCCUCUCGGGUUACCGAAUUCAGACAAACUCCGAAUGCCAAUUAAUUUAACUUGGGAGUCAGAACAUGGGUGAUAAGGUCCGUGUUCGAAAGGGAAACAGCCCAGACCACCAGCUAAGGUCCCAAAAUAUAUGUUAAGUGGAAAAGGAUGUGGCGUUGCCCAGACAACUAGGAUGUUGGCUUAGAAGCAGCCAUCAUUUAAAGAGUGCGUAAUAGCUCACUAGUCGAGUGACACUGCGCCGAAAAUGUACCGGGGCUAAACAUAUUACCGAAGCUGUGGAUUGUCCUUUGGACAAUGGUAGGAGAGCGUUCUAAGGGCGUUGAAGCAUGAUCGUAAGGACAUGUGGAGCGCUUAGAAGUGAGAAUGCCGGUGUGAGUAGCGAAAGACGGGUGAGAAUCCCGUCCACCGAUUGACUAAGGUUUCCAGAGGAAGGCUCGUCCGCUCUGGGUUAGUCGGGUCCUAAGCUGAGGCCGACAGGCGUAGGCGAUGGAUAACAGGUUGAUAUUCCUGUACCACCUAUAAUCGUUUUAAUCGAUGGGGGGACGCAGUAGGAUAGGCGAAGCGUGCGAUUGGAUUGCACGUCUAAGCAGUAAGGCUGAGUAUUAGGCAAAUCCGGUACUCGUUAAGGCUGAGCUGUGAUGGGGAGAAGACAUUGUGUCUUCGAGUCGUUGAUUUCACACUGCCGAGAAAAGCCUCUAGAUAGAAAAUAGGUGCCCGUACCGCAAACCGACACAGGUAGUCAAGAUGAGAAUUCUAAGGUGAGCGAGCGAACUCUCGUUAAGGAACUCGGCAAAAUGACCCCGUAACUUCGGGAGAAGGGGUGCUCUUUAGGGUUAACGCCCAGAAGAGCCGCAGUGAAUAGGCCCAAGCGACUGUUUAUCAAAAACACAGGUCUCUGCUAAACCGUAAGGUGAUGUAUAGGGGCUGACGCCUGCCCGGUGCUGGAAGGUUAAGAGGAGUGGUUAGCUUCUGCGAAGCUACGAAUCGAAGCCCCAGUAAACGGCGGCCGUAACUAUAACGGUCCUAAGGUAGCGAAAUUCCUUGUCGGGUAAGUUCCGACCCGCACGAAAGGCGUAACGAUUUGGGCACUGUCUCAACGAGAGACUCGGUGAAAUCAUAGUACCUGUGAAGAUGCAGGUUACCCGCGACAGGACGGAAAGACCCCGUGGAGCUUUACUGUAGCCUGAUAUUGAAAUUCGGCACAGCUUGUACAGGAUAGGUAGGAGCCUUUGAAACGUGAGCGCUAGCUUACGUGGAGGCGCUGGUGGGAUACUACCCUAGCUGUGUUGGCUUUCUAACCCGCACCACUUAUCGUGGUGGGAGACAGUGUCAGGCGGGCAGUUUGACUGGGGCGGUCGCCUCCUAAAAGGUAACGGAGGCGCUCAAAGGUUCCCUCAGAAUGGUUGGAAAUCAUUCAUAGAGUGUAAAGGCAUAAGGGAGCUUGACUGCGAGACCUACAAGUCGAGCAGGGUCGAAAGACGGACUUAGUGAUCCGGUGGUUCCGCAUGGAAGGGCCAUCGCUCAACGGAUAAAAGCUACCCCGGGGAUAACAGGCUUAUCUCCCCCAAGAGUUCACAUCGACGGGGAGGUUUGGCACCUCGAUGUCGGCUCAUCGCAUCCUGGGGCUGUAGUCGGUCCCAAGGGUUGGGCUGUUCGCCCAUUAAAGCGGUACGCGAGCUGGGUUCAGAACGUCGUGAGACAGUUCGGUCCCUAUCCGUCGUGGGCGUAGGAAAUUUGAGAGGAGCUGUCCUUAGUACGAGAGGACCGGGAUGGACAUACCUCUGGUGUACCAGUUGUCGUGCCAACGGCAUAGCUGGGUAGCUAUGUGUGGACGGGAUAAGUGCUGAAAGCAUCUAAGCAUGAAGCCCCCCUCAAGAUGAGAUUUCCCAACUUCGGUUAUAAGAUCCCUCAAAGAUGAUGAGGUUAAUAGGUUCGAGGUGGAAGCAUGGUGACAUGUGGAGCUGACGAAUACUAAUCGAUCGAAGACUUAAUCAA
rnacentral:rRNA from 1 species